AAGUCGUAACAAGGUUUCCGUAGGUGAACCUGCGGAAGGAUCAUUAACAAAAAAAUUGGAAGGCUUUUUUGGAUACUUCUCCAGAAAAGCUUUUUAAAACACCAAUUGUGAACUUGUAUUAUUGUUUCUUUUCUGUGGUAUUCUCAUAUGACUGGUUUCGCGCUAGUUUUAUGUGGAUGCCCAGAAAAAACUUUUUUAAACUUAAAAGAUUAUACCAUUUUGACCAUUAAAUAAAAGUUUGAAAUUUUUUUUAAACAUUAAAUAAAUUAAAAAAACAACUUUUGGCAACGGAUCUCUAGGCUCUU
rnacentral:misc_RNA from 1 species